rnacentral:lncRNA from 1 species
CAGUGGUUGUACUCAUUCAUUACAGUGGUUGUACUCAUUCAUUACAGUGAUGGUUGUACUCAUUCAUUACAGUGGUUGUACUCAUUCAUUACAGUGACUG